UUUAACAUUUCUAUUUUUCCACCAAAAAUGUUCAAAGAUUUCCCAAAAAUGUGGACAUCAGAAGUUUCACUGUGAAAAUAUAUUUUUUCCCUACAUUUUCAAACUUUAACACGAGUCAAUUUGACCCACAGGAAGACAGGAGGGUUCAACUUAUUUUUAGUUUUCUUGUAAAACUCAACUCAAAACAAGAUAAUUUCAAGAUUUAACAAGAUAUUUAAGAUGCAUUGUCGUAAAACAAGCCCCUUUAUCUUGCUGAAAUGUCACCUGUUAAGUGAAUUUAUCUUAAAUCAAAGGGGAUGAGACAUUCUGACUAAAAAUAAGACAAACAGACGGUAAGAUUUCUAGUUUUUGCGGUGUGUAGGUGUGGAUGACUUAUCAGACACAAGUGUCCUGAUAAAGUCGAGCUGAUUAUGACCAGCUGGAUGCUUUAUCAUGUGAGAGGAGAAAGAAAGAUAGCCUCUCCUGCAUAUUGAUUUAUGUCUUCCCUCUGAUGUAUUUCCAUCCAGUGAGUGACUGACGGAUUUCAUCUCUUUUAAAAGCCAGUCGGGUGCGACCAGAAGCAGCGACCCGAGGCCAGAGGUCAGUCAGACCCACCGUGGCCGCCUGCCAGCUUUGUACUUCUGCCAGGACUGGAUCAAUUACUGGCCUGGAUUCCUGGAAAACCACAAACGGGCCUUUGGGGGAGGAACCUGGAGGCGUUCACGGGCCGUUCGCUCACCCACACAUGUCAAUGAGAGCUAUGAUUGAUGUGUUCCAGAUAAGGUGUACAGCUGUGAAGCAGCACAGACCGAGAUAUGUUUGUAGUUUUGACACAAACACAACAAACAAAAUACACAACUUUGUAUAUUACAGUGAUUAGAAGCACUUCCUAUAAUCCUUUCGUUGUAAGCAAACACUUGUCUGUUAUUUUCAACAUGUUGCAACAUCCAUUAUUAUCAUUUCUUGCUUUGUGUUUUGCAGUGUGUUUAGGAUUUAAUGCAGCUGUAAUCAGCAUUCUUCCAAUAACAACAUUCUGGGAGUCACUUGGUGGUCAGCAGGCAGACUCAGGGGGCUUACUGAGUGCAAAAGAGUUUGAGCUUUAUCCUGUCCCCGGCUGGUCGAGGCAGACGUCUUCCCUCUCUGUUCCUGGCUCUGCUGGAGAUUUCUUUCUUUAAAAAAGCAGUCAUCUGUCCUGAUGUCUCAGCUGAUCAUCUCCACCUCUUCAUUCACCUGUUCAGUCCCACCAGCAUAAACACCAGCAGGUGAGUUCAUGGAGCAACAGUUCAAAACCCAUUCGCCUGCUUCUGCCAAUCUGUGCGGAUGGUCACAUUGUCCUGGAACAAAGGAUUACCACAGACCUGACCGUGAACACAGUUGACACCCACUUGAGGGAGACGCUGCCUAAGAUCUCCAGGCUGUUUGGUCGUGGUCUCUCUGGUCCUGCUCUAGAACGCCUUCAUCAACUGUGUCUUCUUUUGAAGAGACCCUCAUAUGCUGCAAUCUCUAACCUUAAGGAGGAACUGCUACUUUCACUCUGUAACGAGACGACGGUUAUUUUAAAGACCCAGCUCCUGGCGGCUUUGAGUGAAAAUAUAACAUCCAUCAAAACGGAACUAUGUGAAGACACAUUGAAAUUACUGCAUUAAAUCAAAUUGAUGUGAAAAAUGAACUGUUACUCCUUUUAUUAACUUGAAUUUAUUUGUGUUAUUUUUCCAUCCAUCAUAACAGAUUCACACCUGUGCUACCUGGGCUUCCUGCCUAUCAAGAUGACCCUAAAAUCCGUGAAUACUGGAGUCCAAUCCAAUAUCUUUUCACAGUACAUCAAUGACAAAACCUUUGAGUAUCUAGCAACUUUUACAAAUCAAAGACAGCUGCAAACUAGAGGAGUGUCACUGAAUACCACUGCCCAAGAAAUCAACAUUUUCUUCAGCAUAUCAGUACACAUGGCCUGCCUUGGCUAU